CAUCGUGCAGAGGUUUGAGUGUC
rnacentral:miRNA from 3 species